rnacentral:rRNA from 1 species
CACGUAAGGGGCGAGCGUUGUUCGGAAUUAUUGGGCGUAAAGGGCACGCAGGCGGUUAUACAAGUCCGAUGUUAAAGACCUGGGCUUAACCCCGGGGGUGCGUUGGAAACUGUAUGACUAGAGUCUUGGAGGGGGAGACGGAAUUCCUAGUGUAGGGGUGAAAUGUGUUGAUAUUAGGAAGAACACCGGUGGCGAAGGCGGACUCCUGGCCGAAGAUUGACGCUGAGGUGCGAAAGCAUAGGGAGCAAACAGG